GAUCCUGGCUCAGGAUGAACGCUAGCUACAGGCUUAACACAUGCAAGUCGAGGGGCAGCGGGAAGUCAGCUUGCUGACUUUGCCGGCGACCGGCGCACGGGUGAGUAACACGUAUCCAACCUCCCGCAUACUCGGGAAUAGCCUUUCGAAAGAAAGAUUAAUGCCCGAUGGUUUCAAGGGAUUGCAUGGUAAUCUUUGAAUAAAGAUUCAUCGGUAUGCGAUGGGGAUGCGGUUCC
rnacentral:rRNA from 1 species